rnacentral:lncRNA from 1 species
GUUUGGUUUCUUUCCAUUCAGUGGUUCUCUAGAAGAAGUCAUUUGUAUGCAUUUCCCAUAGGGUCUUAUGUUAAACUAAGGCCCCCGCUGGCGGCCAUCUUGGAUGAUGGAUCGGCUACAAAGUAACAACACUUGGUCAGCACCUCAUAAGGAAAAUUCAUGCCAUGUUUGGUUUCAUUCCAUUCAGUGGUUCUCUAGAAGAAGUCAUUUGUAUGCAUUUCCCAUAGGGUCCUAUGUUAAAUUAAGUCCCCCGAUGGCGGCCAUCUUGAAUGAUGGAUCGGCUACAAAGUAACAACACUUGGUCAGCACCUCAUAAGGAACAUUCAUGCCAUGUUUGGUUUUAUUCUAUUCAGUGGUUCUCUAAAA